rnacentral:rRNA from 1 species
AGUGGCGCACGGGUGAGUAACGCGUAGAUAAUCUACCUGAUGAUCCGGGAUAACACUUCGAAAGGGGUGCUAAUACCUGAUAAGCCCACGGAGUCUUUGGACUCUGCGGGAAAAGGGGGGGACCUUCGGGCCUUCCGUCAUCAGAUGAGUCUGCGUACCAUUAGCUAGUUGGUAGGGUAAAGGCCUACCAAGGCGACGAUGGUUAGCUGGUCUGAGAGGAUGAUCAGCCACACUGGAACUGAGACACGGUCCAGACUCCUACGGGAGGCAGCAGUGGGGAAUUUUGCGCAAUGGGGGAAACCCUGACGCAGCAACGCCGCGUGAGUGAUGAAGGCCCUUGGGUCGUAAAGCUCUGACAGAGGGAAAGAAGUGUAGAGUGGCUAAUAUCCACAUUACUUGACGGUACCCUCAAAGGAAGCACCGGCUAACUCCGUGCCAGCAGCCGCGGUAAUACGGGGGGUGCAAGCGUUGUUCGGAUUUAUUGGGCGUAAAGCGCGUGUAGGCGGUUUUAUAAGUCUGAUGUGAAAGCCCUGGGCUCAACCCGGGAAGUGCAUUGGAUACUGUAAGACUUGAAUACGGGAGAGGGCAGUGGAAUUCCUAGUGUAGGAGUGAAAUCCGUAGAUAU